GACGAACGCUGGCGGCGUGCUUAACACAUGCAAGUCGAGCGGUAAGGCCCCUUUCGGGGGUACACGAGCGGCGAACGGGUGAGUAACACGUGGGCGACCUACCCUCAGCUUCGGGAUAAGCCUGGGAAACUGGGUCUAAUACCGGAUAUGACCUUCCCUCGCAUGGGGGUUGGUGGAAAGUUUUUUCGGCUGGGGAUGGGCCCGCGGCCUAUCAGCUUGUUGGUGGGGUGAUGGCCUACCAAGGCGACGACGGGUAGCCGGCCUGAGAGGGCGACCGGCCACACUGGGACUGAGAUACGGCCCAGACUCCUACGGGAGGCAGCAGUGGGGAAUAUUGCGCAAUGGGCGGAAGCCUGACGCAGCGACGCCGCGUGGGGGAUGACGGCCU
rnacentral:rRNA from 1 species